rnacentral:rRNA from 1 species
AAUGAACGCUGGCGGCGUGCCUAACACAUGCAAGUCGAACGAGAAAGCCUGAUUUCGGUUGGGCGAGUAAAGUGGCGCACGGGUGAGUAACGCGUAGAUGAUCUACCCUUGAGUUUGGGACAACCUUGCGAAAGCGGGGCUAAUACUGGAUACGAUCAUGCCUUAGGGUGAGAUGAAAGUUGGCCGCUCGAAGAAGCCAAUGCUCGAGGAUGAGUCUGCGUCCUAUCAGCUAGUUGGUAGGGUAACGGCCUACCAAGGCGACGACGGGUAGCUGGUCUGAGAGGAUGAUCAGCCACACUGGCACUGGAACACGGGCCAGACUCCUACGGGUGGCAG